CACGGGGGGGAGCAAGCGUUGUUCGGAAUCACUGGGCGUAAAGGGCGUGUAGGCGGUUUGGUAAGUGGGAUGUGAAAUGCCUCGGCUCACCCGAGGACCGGCAUCCCAAACUGCCAAGCUUGAGUAUGGGAGAGGAUGUGGGAAUUCCGGGUGUAGCGGUGAAAUGCGUAGAUAUCCGGAGGAACACCGGUGGCGAAGGCGGCUUCCUGGACCGACACUGACGCUGAGGCGCGAAAGCUAGGGGAGCGAACGGG
rnacentral:rRNA from 1 species